rnacentral:misc_RNA from 1 species
AACGCAAAUUGCGCUUCAUGGCAAUCCAUGGAGCAUACCUGUUUGAGUCUCGCUUUAUCCCUUUCCAAAUAUUUGGAAGAUAUGCGUCAUUUUUCGUAUCUCACUACGAAAAGGACGUUAAAAAGCAUUUUUACGAAUCACAUGUUUUACCCGCCAGAGGUUUUCAGAUUCGAGGAAUAAGUGUGCCUAUCAUACCAAUUUCUCUUUUCGAAGCUUGCUACAGGGAUUUUUAUUGAAACAUGAACUCUUGAGCUCAAAUCAGGCAGGACUACCCGCUGAACUUAA